AUGACCGGAGGCAGCUGCCUGGCCCGCCCCACGUCUUCCCCCCCCCAACCCCACCCCUCACUGGGCCUCUCCCCGCCCUCUUCCACUGCUCCUCGCCUCCCGAUCUGCUCCUGGCUUCAACACGCGCAUAUGGACGAUUCUUCUUCUUCUUUGAACCAAAACGACCAUCCUCCACUAUAUACGGCAUUUUUUACAAUGAAGCAUCUGUACCACAAACUUCCUGACCAUGGACCCAGAUUUGCCUUGCGGAUUUCUGCACUUUCAGCACACCCCAUUAUUGUGUGGACCCCGCUGAAUAGAAUCUACUCAAACAAGUGUCACCAUCACAACUACAGUCCAUCCAUCCAUCCAUCCGGACCAGACUCUGUACAGAGCGUCGGUGCUGCCGAAGCAGUCUCCUGGGCUAUUGGGCGCAAUCCUGGACGGGUCGCAACUCCGACGCAGGAUACUCGAAUGGCUCAAUCAUCCCAGCAAGCUGGUACUCAUUUUACUGACCUCGGAAGGAUGACAGGCUCAGUCGACCCUCCCUGGUAUUAAUUCAACUGCCAAGUGGAAUUUUAUCUCAAGACCCUAGGAUCCCAAGCCCACCACCCUAACCAUUCAGCCAACACCAGGCAUACAAAUACAGUAUGUACACCUUUUCCAUUAUAGAGAUUUUUGGUCCAGUUGGCUGAAGCUCACAUAUUUAUUUCCUGAAUUUCUGGGGUCUAAUCAAGGGUUAUUUUAUUAUUUUAUGUUUAAGUAGCAGGAUACCCGUUUUAAACAGGAUGUUCUUAUAUAAUCCACCAUGAUUUAAAAACACCAGCAAUAGAAUGGAUGCAGAAUAAAAGUGACCUUACCCCACCCC
rnacentral:lncRNA from 1 species